rnacentral:rRNA from 1 species
CAGCAGCCGCGGGAAUACAGAGGUCCCGAGCGUUGUUCGGAUUCACUGGGCGUAAAGGGUGUGUAGGAGGUUGGAUAAGUCAGGUGUGAAAUCCCGCAGCUCAACUGCGGAACUGCAUUCGAUACUGUUCAACUAAAGGAUCGGAGGGGGAAGCAGAAUUCUUGGUGUAGCGGUGAAAUGCGUAGAUAUCAAGAGGAACACCGGUGGCGAAGGCGGCUUCCUGGAAGAUACCUGACUCUGAAACACGAAAGCCAGGGGAGCGAAUGGGAUUAGAUACCCCAGUAGUCCCUGUCUCUUAUAC